GCAGCGCGGGCAGCCGGCUCCCCCGUGCAAGCUGGGGGUGUCUGCUGGAGCAGCCCUCGCCACCGCCGCCGCUGCCCCCUGGCUCUGGCCAUGGCCUGGCGGGGCGCAGGGCCGCGCGUCCUGGGGGCCCCCGGGGGCGUCGGUCUCAGCCUGCGGCUGCCGCUGCUUUUGCUGCUGCUCCUGAGGCCGGCGAGGGGCUUCGGGGACGAGGAGGAGCGGCGCUGCGACCCCAUCCGCAUCUCUAUGUGCCAGAACCUGGGCUACAACGUGACCAAGAUGCCCAACCUGGUGGGGCACGAGCUGCAGACGGACGCCGAGCUGCAGCUGACAACUUUCACGCCGCUCAUCCAGUACGGCUGCUCCAGCCAGCUGCAGUUCUUCCUUUGUUCCGUGUAUGUGCCCAUGUGCACAGAGAAGGUCAAUAUCCCCAUCGGCCCCUGCGGCGGGAUGUGUCUUUCCGUCAAGAGACGUUGCGAGCCUGUCCUGAAGGAAUUUGGAUUUGCCUGGCCAGAGAGCCUGAACUGCAGCAAAUUCCCACCACAGAAUGACCACAACCACAUGUGCAUGGAAGGGCCAGGUGAUGAGGAGGUGCCCUUACCUCACAAAACCCCCAUCCAGCCUGGGGAAGAGUGCCAUUCCGUGGGAACCAACUCUGAUCAGUACAUCUGGGUGAAGAGGAGCCUGAACUGCGUUCUCAAGUGUGGCUAUGAUGCUGGCUUAUACAGCCGCUCGGCCAAGGAGUUCACCGAUAUCUGGAUGGCCGUGUGGGCCAGCCUGUGCUUCAUCUCCACCGCCUUCACUGUGCUGACCUUCCUGAUCGAUUCUGCCAGGUUUUCCUACCCGGAGCGCCCCAUCAUAUUUCUCAGUAUGUGCUAUAAUAUUUAUAGCAUUGCUUAUAUUGUCAGGCUGACUGUAGGCCGGGAAAGGAUAUCCUGCGAUUUUGAAGAGGCAGCAGAACCCGUUCUCAUCCAAGAAGGACUUAAGAACACAGGAUGUGCAAUCAUUUUCUUGCUGAUGUACUUUUUUGGAAUGGCCAGUUCCAUCUGGUGGGUUGUUCUGACACUCACUUGGUUUUUGGCAGCGGGACUCAAAUGGGGUCAUGAAGCCAUUGAAAUGCACAGCUCUUAUUUCCACAUUGCAGCCUGGGCUAUCCCUGCAGUGAAAACCAUUGUCAUCUUGAUUAUGAGACUGGUGGAUGCAGAUGAACUGACUGGCCUGUGCUACGUGGGGAACCAAAACCUUGACGCCCUCACGGGAUUUGUGGUGGCUCCCCUCUUCACUUACCUGGUGAUUGGAACUUUGUUCAUUGCUGCAGGCUUGGUGGCCUUGUUCAAAAUUCGGUCGAAUCUUCAAAAGGAUGGGACAAAGACAGACAAGUUGGAAAGGCUGAUGGUCAAGAUUGGGGUCUUCUCAGUCCUGUACACGGUGCCUGCAACCUGUGUGAUUGCCUGUUAUUUCUAUGAAAUCUCCAACUGGGCGCUUUUCCGGUAUUCCGCAGAUGACUCCAAUAUGGCAGUUGAGAUGUUGAAAAUUUUUAUGUCUUUGCUGGUAGGCAUCACUUCAGGCAUGUGGAUUUGGUCUGCCAAAACUCUUCACACGUGGCAGAAGUGUUCCAACAGAUUGGUGAAUUCUGGGAAGGUAAAGAGAGAAAAAAGAGGGAAUGGUUGGGUGAAGCCUGGGAGAGGCAAUGAAACUGUGGUAUAAGGCUAGCCAGCCUCCAUGCUUUCCAGAUUUUGAAGGGGGCAUGCCAGCAUUGCGGUGCAAAUGCUACCAAAAGCUUCAUGCAGUGAAUCUCAGUUUGAACAAGCUAGCAGCACUUAAGUGACCCCCAUAACCCUCCACCACUCUCCCCCGUCUCCCCCCAGCAUCAUAAAACUAAUGAUUUUGCUGCGGACUUUGGAAUGAUCCAAAAUGGAAAAGCCAGUUAGAGGCUUUCAAAGCUGUGAAAAAUCAAAACAUUGAUCACUUUAGCAGGUCGCAGCUUGGAGCGUGGAGGUCCUGCCUAGAUUCCAGGAGGUCCAGGGCGAUGCUGCUUUUCCCUGCAGGGUGGGAUUUGAGCUGUGAGUAGGCAACUUGCAGGGAGAAAGAUUAACUUUUUUAACCCUUUAAAAAUUCUAAAUACUAACUGGGUCUUUCAGAUAGCAAAGCGAUCUAUAAACACUGGAAACGCUGGGUUCAGAGAAGUGUUACAAGAGUUUUAUAGUUUGGCUGGUCUAACAUAAACAUUUUCUGUGGUGUACUGUCUGCUGUUUAGAACUUUGUGGAUUGCUCUCCCAAGAGGUGGUGUCAGAAUCUUUCAGUGCCUUUGUCAUAAAACAGAAUUGUUUGAACAAACAAAAGUACUGUACAAACGCACAUAAGGUAUCCAGUGGAUUUUUCUUCUCUCUCUUCCUCUUAAAUUUCAACAGCUCUGUCCUAGGCUGCUGCUGUUUUCUCCAUUUUACGUUAAUGACUCAAAAGCAGGUAUUUUUUAUAGGAAGUUUUGCACUGCAGCAUGCCUAAUGAGGGGGAAAGGAAGGGUGAUUCACUUUCUUGACAAUCACUUAAUUCAGAGGAAAAUGAUAUUUACCAAGUCGACUUACCUUACCCACCCCAGAGACCGACUGCAUUGAGCAAUGGGGACUUAAUAUAUUUUACUUUGUGUGAUUGCAUCUAUGCAGACGCCAGUCUGGAAGAGCUAAAAUGUUAAGUUUCUUGGCAACUUUGCAUUCACACAGAUUAGCUAUGUAAUUUGUGUGUGUCAAUUACAAUUAAAAGCACAUUCUUGGACCAUGACAUAACAGUUACUCAGCUGACUUUAAAGCUAUGGUCAGCUUGCAUUCUCAGAAUGAUAGUGCCUUUUUUUUCCUUUAGCAUAAGAAUGUUAUCAGAGUCUGGUCUACUUACCACAAUGGAGACUUUUUCAAUUUUGUAAAGGGAGCUAAGGACAGCUAAUCCAACUACUUGGUGCAUAAUUAUUUCCUAGUAAUUGGCAAGGGCUCCCUGUAAGAUUUCCUUGGAGGCAGUGUGGCCUGGAGUAUUUAUAUGGUGCUUAAUGAAUCUCCAGAAUGCCAGCCAGGAGCUUGAUUGGUUCGUAGGGAAUAAAGUGUAGACCAUAUGAAGUGAACUGCAAACUCUAACAGCACAGGUCUUAAUUGCCUUUUGCAGAGGUAUCCAGAGCUUUUAAAAUUUAUGCUUUAUGUUCCUUGCAAGGGGGUACCCCCUAGCAGACUCUCAAAAACUGCAAUUCUUUUAAAAUUGUAACUGGCCUUUCUCCUAACCCGCCUCAGGCCUUCUAAUCACCAGAUCUCUGGGACAAAUUAUUGACGAUGUCACAGGUUGCUGUCCUUGAAGUUCAUACCUGUCUUUGCUUCAGCAACUACCUUGCGAUGACUCAUUUAUUUAUUUAUUCAUGCUCCUCCCCCCUUUAAAAAAGGUAGGAAAGCUCUUUUAUCGCAUUUCUUUGUGGAAAAAUAUUUCCAGGGACGCAAAAUUCCAAAGAGGAGUUCAAAUUCUGGAAAUAAGCAUGUCUUUUUUUGUUUGAGCUUUAUGCCCCCUGGUUUGACAUUUUCCUUUCUUCUUUCUCUGUUGUGGUGUGGUUCUUGACCUGUCUGAGAUGAAGAUGCAUGUAAGGUCUGUUGCAUGUUUUGGAAGGCAAAGUCUUGGGGCUUUGGACACUGAUGCUAAGUGGGCACCGGUGGCCCCGCUGUGUGUGCUGAGCCUGAGUACCUUGGCUGGACUCUGGGUCGGGGCUCCAGGAGCAUGAGAAAUGAUCCCCAGAAGGACCAGUUGAACUCCAUCUGAGACUGCAUCGCCUAUGAAAUGUAAAAUGUGAACGCCCCGUGCUGCUUGCAGAUGGUUCCCAUAGCUGGCCGGGGCCCUGGAGCAUGCACCCAGGGGCACAGCCUGCCCUUACUCACGCUCUGCUCCAGUGUCUUGGGAGUUGUGCGGAGACUCUGGCCCAGGAAAGGAAAGAAGGACCAGGCAGGGGAUUGUAAUGCAGUUCUCUUUGUAAUGUUUCAGUGAUCGUGUGACCGACGCGGCACCUAGCAGAGGGCCCGGCAUGGAGAGGGUGCUCAAUAUUUAUGAAUAGUAACAAAUGAGUAACAAUAAGAGUACUUGGGUGAACCUGGACCCCCAAGUUUUGGAGCUUUCUGGGUCGUAACGUGUCUCUUCCAUAAAUCUCUUGCCUUCACGGGAGAAAUAUAUAUUUGAUCAGACGUCGUCAUCGGUGCAGAAUAGAUGAGUAGCCUUGGCAAUGUCACAGGCUUAUAGGCCGUUCCUUUCACAUUCCAGACCAUGGAGAGUGUUUACGGUUUUAAGAAAGGAGCUUUGUGGCCGAAGAGUUAGAUAUCGGUUACCUUGAAACGAAUCCAUCACCUGUUAGGUUGGUAUUGGUUUUAAAAAAGGUUAAUUAUCAGCACAUUUAUUGAGUGCUAACUGUGUGUAAAGCCCUGUGUUAGGCACCUUAGGGGAUGUCAGGGAGGAUCAGCUCUGUUCUUCUAACCGACCUGGACUGGGAUGCCCCUGGGUCUGCUGAACUUGGCCAUUGGUUUCAGGAAGGAGCAGGGGCUACUGAAUUGCCAUUUGUUCCACCGUCAGCAUCUCAUAAACCUCUUCCUGGGUCUUUCUCCCUUUAACCCAUCACUUAUCCCUUCCCAGGAUUCCUUGCAAAUCGAUUCACAGGGGUUUUGCCAGAAAGCAUCAGCUCUGUUUCAUGACAGUCUCCGUGGAAAUCUCCUAGGAAGAUCACAAACAUUGGCUACAAGGACAUGAACUCCCACAUCUAAUAUGGCUUCGGGAGCAGGCAGUUUAGGGAUUGGGGUGUUCUGGUGACUCGUACAGGUGAAUUUGAGGACAGCAUCUUGCUAGGGAAAAGGUUAGCGUUCUUUUUCUUUCUCGGAAAUCUAGGAUAAGUAGGUAUAAUUAUAGCUUCCUACAAAAUCCCUUGGCCUCAACAGGGACCAAGGGCGCCUCUGUCCAGCCUCCUCUCUGGCAAACUCCUUUCUCCUCCUUCAUAAAAGGCCACACCUCAGGGCAGAGGAACAUGGGAAGAGUGGAACUGGCCAGGACCGCCUGAUGGAGCUACUUGGUUGUUUCAUAUCCUUUUUCCUCUAUGGAGACCCGUCUCCUGAUCUCUGAGACUGCUUCUGAUCUGGCAGCUUACUCAGGGACCUGGAACAGGAGAAGUGGUGACACUUUUUAUUUCCCUGAGAUGCUCUGACUUUGCUUUCCCCUGGCCCUCCCUCCCCUGCAUUCUCCAAACCUGGAACCUGGGAAACUUCUGUAUCUAGGUUCUGAAUUGUGAUGUUACCAGCACCCCUAGCCCUGUCCUCUCUGGCCCCCCUCAGCCCCCUGGUCAUGGAAUUCAGUGUUAGGAACCAAGCCGAGGCCCAAGGGUGUAAAGAGAAACUCGACAGCCUCAGCCCUGGAAGGCAGACUCAACUUAAGAUUUCACCAGGAUGGUUCAAGCCUCGGCUUCUAGCGAGGUGGCCACAACGGCAGUUAAGGGAGAGGGCUGUGGAGCCCAGACUCUGGAAGGAGCCCGCAGAAUUGAUCUGUUAUACAUCCUGCAUUUCAUUCUGUGAUGGAGGAGAUUGGAGGGAGUUCCUAUUCCAGCCAGAGAGGUCGAGUCAUUGGACUCCGAUGGUUCUUUUUGUUCCUUUAUUGUACUUGGGUUCAGAGUCCCCGUCUGGGUUUGUAUUAUGUCUGGCAAAGGACCCGGGUUCUCAUUUUUCUUCUGGGCCUAGGCUGUAGAUCUUGGAAACUCCUAGGAGAGCAUUUUGCUCCUACCAAGGAUCAGAUACCAGAGCCUUAAAUAAUGGAUUUUGUUUCGCUGCGGCCUGGCUUGAGCUGUCUGCUGCUGCCUCUUGCCACGCACAUGUGCAGUAAUGGCCCGCUGGAUGUUACCUGGAGGGAAGUGAACCCCGGAUCUCCCCAAUAGGCCUCUUCUCCUUGGUACACCCAGUUGCCUGUUCCCGGUUUGCCUUGUUUCCCUUCUUCUUUGCGUCAGCAAAUUCCCAGUAUUCACCCAGGCGACUUGUAGAGGGCCUGCUUGGGGUCCUGUGAGCCGUGUCCUCCAAGCUUUUGUAGCUCCCUGAUCGCCUACAAUAUUCAGUACAUGACCACUGUCAUCCCAGAAGGCUUCCGGGGAGGGGGUGAGAGCCCCUGCCCCCUGGAGGCUGGGCCCAUCUGCCCUCCCAGGUGUGCACCUUCCCCCAUCCUGCUGAGGGCUCGGGCUGGUAUGGCUGAGGGUUUGGGGAGGGGAGGCUGCUUUCCAGGUGUCUCCCCGUGGGGCAUCUAGGUGGUCCUGAAUUUUUUCCUACCUCACAGGGAUGUUGUGAGACUUUAGAAGGAAGGAGGACAAAGGCCCCUUGAGCUCUUUGUAGGAAAGGCAGAAUAAAUAUCAGGUGUGAUCUAUGCAGAGAUGAAAUUCGGCCUGCUGGUGAGGCAGACACGCUCGUGCUCUGUGGCUGUUCUCGGGCCCCCGUGCCACCCGAGCUCCGGCCACCUCGAGGCCUACCUGAGGGACUUUCAGAUGUUCGACACAGAGGUACCAGGCAGACCCUCCUACAUGCCCUGAACGAGCCGAUGAACGUCAGAGGAAAUGGACCCUGCUUUUGAGGAUGUACAAAUGUAAGCAGCGCAGGCACUACUUUGCUUUCGAGAUGAGAACUGAAACUUUUGCCCGGAGUACCUCGGUGGUGUUGGGCAGCGGCUGAUCUUUAGAGACAGAGGUGAUCGGGAUCUGAGAAGAGCUUUUCACCCCUCAUCUUGACCUCCACCCCAUCCGGCAGAAGGCCGUCCGGGACAGAUGGAUAUCUGGCUUCUUGCACCAGCCCCAGGAAGAGAUUCCUUCAUCCAUCACCCAGGCUGACAUUCUUCCGUAGGUCCAACCCCUUAGUGUGAUAUCCAAGGCCUCCAGAAUUGGACCCCUUCCCCUCUCCUCCAGUCUCACUUCCUGCCUCUUCUUCAGACACAAUGUAUAUUCUAGCUAAUUCCAACUCCCUGUGUAUCUCACACUGUCUGAGUCUUUUCUGCCUUUGCAUAUGCGGGUCCCCUCAGCCAGGAGAUUCUGUCCCUCCAUGGCUCUGGGCUCACUCCUCAAGACCCUGUGUAAGUGUUUUCUCUCCUGGGAGCCUCGAAUGAUCCAACCUGGCAGACACGGUGCACCUGGUAUGUCACCUCUCAAACACCUAUAGUUGCCUGUGUUAUCUUACAUUUUUUGUCUGUAUGUGUGUCUCCCCUAGACCUCUGUGAUCUUCUGGACAAGAGCUGUCCUGGUGCCCAAGUCCCUGGCUUGUCCAGGCACUCUGCAAACGUUCACUGAUGUCCUCACAUCAGCCGUCUGUGGGGUUAGACUGUCCCACUGGGCUGCAGUGUUUUGAUAGGAGCAAAUUGGGGGGCUGGGGCGUGCAGCUAGUUCAAGGGUAGAGUUGGCAAUCAGCGGAGUAGGUCUUUGAAAAUGUACAGAAUCAUUUAUUAUCCCAAAUGACCUCAACCUUCACCCCCUGAGAAAUACGAUGGUUUCACAAAAAUGAUCUCUAAGUUUCUGUCUGGGCCCAACAUUGUAGGUUUCUAUAACUGGGGGAUCUGUGAUCUAAAAUGCCUGGGUUUUUUAAAAAUCUGGGGUCAAUGAAGGAAGUCUAUAAUUGCAUGCAAACUGUUUUAUGUACACAUGUGUCUUUUGGGAGGGAAAUGGUCCAAACUUUCAUAGAUGGGUCUAUGAUCACAAAAGAUUAAACGUCACUGAUUAAGAAUUGUUCACCAAAAGGAUGUUCAUAAUCUCUAUUGGCUCAAUAGGAGCUGACACCUUCUUUCGUGCUUCAGGGGAGAGGCUUAUAAACCAGCAGUCCUGUUGUUUUUUGUUCACUGUCCUUCAUGAGGGCACCUACAGGUCUGGUCUGCAAUUUAAAAAGAGAGGCUAAGGGGCUUUUGGCUGUGUUUCAUUUUGUGUUGUAUUAAUUUCCCCCCUCCUUAGGUUCUAAAGGUAGGUGAGGGUGUAAUUCUUCCUGCUCUGGGAAAACUAUCACACAGCGCCCACAAAUUCUGCCCACAUGGUCCACUCUGAACCCUCUGGGUAACGUCAGGUAACCUGCACAUGACGCGUGAUUAUAAAACAUUCUGCCACUGUGGUCUGGGCCUGCAAAUUGCUAUGAUGCUUUUGCUCCUGGAUGGGAGAUGCCAUCUGUAAAGUGAAUUGUGGCUGGCGGGGCAGGCUUCAUGGGUGUGUGACCUGGGCAAUCUUUCAGGGCCCCAUGCUUUGUUUAAUGCUCUACUGUUGCUGUCUUGAAGUUCUUAAUAAUUUUUGAACAAAAACCUCUGUAUUUUUACUUUUCACCUGGUCCUGCAAAUUAUGUUGCUGGUCCUGAGUGGCUGCACCUACUUGAAGGAGCAGCAUGCAGUGGAAAGGGCAUGAGCUUUGGAGUUGGCAGUUGGGGUUCAAAUCCCAGUUCUGUAAUUUCCCAGCUGUGUGAGUAUGAGUCGGUUACUUAACCUCUCUGAGCUUCAGUAUUCUUAUAUCUAAA